rnacentral:rRNA from 1 species
CAAACGACUCUCGGCAACGGAUAUCUCGGCUCACGCAUCGAUGAAGAACGUAGCAAAAUGCGAUACUUAGUGUGAAUUGCAGAAUCCCGUGAACCAUCGAGUUUUUGAACGCAAGUUGCGCCCGAAGCCUUCUGGCCGAGGGCACGUCUGCCUGGGCGUCACUU